rnacentral:rRNA from 1 species
UACGUAGGAGACGAGCGUUGUCCGGAGUUACUGGGCGUAAAGGGUGCGCAGGCGGCCUGGCGCGUCGCGAGUGAAAUCUCCUGGCUCAACUGGGAGGGUGGUCGCGAGACGGCUGGGCUUGAGGCUCGGUGAGGGGCGUGGAAUUCCGGGUGGAGCGGUGAAAUGCAUAGAUAUGUCACAGAACACCAAUUGCGAAGGCAGCUUACUAAAGUAUGAUUGACGCUGAGGCACGAAAGCGUGGGGAUCAAACAGG